rnacentral:tRNA from 1 species
AGUGUAGCUCAAUGAUAGAGCGUGUAUUUACCAUGUGCAAGGCCUGGGUUCAAUGCCCAGCACU